rnacentral:sRNA from 1 species
GAGAACCGUUGUGGCGAGCGCUACACGAGGCAAACGACUUCUCCCUUCUCUGAACUGGACCCCGCGAGCACCAGAGUCGGCGUAACUAUCGCCUGACAGGGUAUCUGAAGUAAAAGGGGCAUUUAAAUCAAACGGUAUUGAGAUGGAUUGGGUUAUGAAACAUAAUGGUCCAAAUGACGCUAGUGAUGGGACAGUACGACUUCGUGGACUACCAUUUGGUUGCAGCAAAGAGGAAAUAGUUCAGUUCUUUCAAGGGUUGGAAAUCGUGCCAAAUGGGAUAACAUUGACGAUGGACUACCAGGGGAGAAGCACAGGGGAGGCCUUCGUGCAGUUUGCUUCAAAGGAGAUAGCAGAAAAUGCUCUGGGGAAACACAAGGAAAGAAUAGGGCACAGGUAUAUUGAGAUCUUCAGAAGUAGCAGGAGUGAAAUCAAAGGAUUUUAUGAUCCACCAAGAAGAUUGCUGGGACAGCGACCGGGACCAUAUGAUAGACCAAUAGGAGGAAGAGGGGGUUAUUAUGGAGCUGGGCGUGGAAGUAUGUAUGACAGAAUGCGACGAGGAGGUGAUG